AUUGAACGCUGGCGGCAUGCCUUACACAUGCAAGUCGAACGGCAGCACGGGGGCAACCCUGGUGGCGAGUGGCGAACGGGUGAGUAAUAUAUCGGAACGUACCCUAGAGUGGGGGAUAACGUAGCGAAAGUUACGCUAAUACCGCAUACGAUCUACGGAUGAAAGCGGGGGAUCGCAAGACCUCGCGCUCAUGGAGCGGCCGAUAUCUGAUUAGCUAGUUGGAGGGUAAAAGCCUACCAAGGCUUCGAUCAGUAGCUGGUCUGAGAGGACGACCAGCCACACUGGGACUGAGACACGGCCCAGACUCCUACGGGAGGCAGCAGUGGGGAAUUUUGGACAAUGGGGGCAACCCUGAUCCAGCAAUGCCGCGUGAGUGAAGAAGGCC
rnacentral:rRNA from 1 species